rnacentral:rRNA from 1 species
CCUACGGGCGGCUGCAGUGAGGAAUAUUGGUCAAUGGACGAGAGUCUGAACCAGCCAAGUAGCGUGAAGGAUGACUGCCCUAUGGGUUGUAAACUUCUUUUAUAUGGGAAUAAAAUGUUCCACGUGUGGGAUUUUGUAGGUACCAUAUGAAUAAGGAUCGGCUAACUCCGUGCCAGCAGCCGCGGUAAUACGGAGGAUCCGAGCGUUAUCCGGAUUUAUUGGGUUUAAAGGGAGCGUAGGUGGAUUGUUAAGUCAGUUGUGAAAGUUUGCGGCUCAACCGUAAAAUUGCAGUUGAAACUGGCAGUCUUGAGUACAGUAGAGGUGGGCGGAAUUCGUGGUGUAGCGGUGAAAUGCUUAGAUAUCACGAAGAACUCCGAUUGCGAAGGCAGUUCACUGGACUGCAACUGACACUGAGGCUCGAAAGUGUGGGUAUCAAACAGGAUUAGAUACCCGUGUAGUC